rnacentral:rRNA from 1 species
GAUGAACGCUGGCGGCGUGCUUAACACAUGCAAGUCGAGCGAAGCAUAGAUGUGGAAGUUUUCGGAUGGAAGCAGAUAUGACUGAGCGGCGGACGGGUGAGUAACGCGUGGGUAACCUGCCUCAUACAGGGGGAUAACAGUUAGAAAUGACUGCUAAUACCGCAUAAGCGCACAGGACCGCAUGGUCCGGUGUGAAAAACUCCGGUGGUAUGAGAUGGACCCGCGUCUGAUUAGCUGGUUGGUGAGGUAACGGCCCACCAAGGCGACGAUCAGUAGCCGACCUGAGAGGGUGGCCGGCCACAUUGGGACUGAGACACGGCCCAA